AUCCAGCUGAUGAGUCCUAGAUAGGACGAAACACGCGUCAAACUGGAU
rfam:Schistosoma mansoni, Puerto Rico, WGS project CABG01000000 data, contig: 0097